GCCUUGAGAGAACCCCUCUCUGGCCUGGAGCAGCCUCCACCCCAUCCUGGGCACAUGCCCGAGGAGGAGGCAAGAGGGGGUGAAACCCCCGGACCUCAGGAUGAGCUGAUUAUUAUUCUGAAAGAGGAGCCCCUGCCCCACUAAGAGCCAGAUUCACCAGACAUGGAGGAGACAUGGGACUCAUCAGCAGAUGAAAGCUCCUUGGGCUGCUUCCCUAAACAGGGCCCUUUCCUGGGGCAGGGGCAGGGACCCUGAGCACAGCUGAGGAGCAGUUUGCUGAGGAUGGGUCUGUGAACCUAGAGCUGCUGAUGCUGUCCCCAGGACAAUCAGGGGACAAGGGACCCUUAACACCUGAGUUGAGCCAAGUGCACGAGAAGCAGGGCAGAGACAACAUGGCCAUAGGCAAGACUAGCACCCAUAGGUUAAAGAUCGAGUGGUCAAAAAGGAGCCUGGUGUGGCAUCAUUUCACAAAAAUCAAAGAUGCUGUCAGGUGUAAGUUAUGCACUACGGAGCUUAGGUACGGGAGCAGCACUGGAGCAAUGCUGAACUAUCUUAAGCAGAUGCAGCCUGCUAUUUCAAGUGAAAGGCAAGAUCAGAAGCAAACAACAAUGCCUACAUUCAUUCCUGGCAGUGCGAGGAAAUGUGAUACACAGCGUGCUGAAAAACUGACCAAAUUGUUAUGCUCCGUGAUAACUGAAGCCAUGCUGCCUAUAAGUGUUAUUGAGGGUGCCGGUUUCCCGUGCAUUAAUGAGUUUUGUGGAACUUGAACACCAUGUGCCUGUGAGACAAACUGUGACUGCACAACUGGAGAAGUGGUAUGAAACCUGCGUGAACUGUCUGCAGGGAAAACUGGGGAAAGCCAAUAAAGUAGCUUUCACUACUGACUGUUGGAUAGCAGUAAAUGCAGAAAGCUAUAUGACCAUCACCUGUCAUUACAUUGAAAACUAGGAGCUUCAGUCAGCUGUGCUCCAGAUGGAAAGUAUGCUAGAACCACACACAGCAGAAAAUAUUGCUGAAAAGUUAAACCCUAUAGUAGAGAGAUGGGGCCUGGAAAACCGUAUCUUGGCAUGUGUUCAUGAUAAUGUGAGCAAUGUCGUGCUCACCGACAUGCCGAGAUAUGUUGCGUGGGACUCUGUAAACUGUUUUGCUCACAUAUUGCAGCUGACUAUAAAUGAUGGCUUUUCUGGCAGCGUCGCUCAUGUUUUUGCGGCCGCCAGUAGGCUAGUUGCACAUUUCCAGCCUGGCUCCGUUGCUGCUAAAACACCCGACAGGAAACAAACGCAGUAUCAGAUUAAGCAUAACCCCUUGAUUCAGUCUUGUAAAACUCACUGGAAUUCAGCGUAUGAAAUGUUUGAGAGACUCAGUGAGCAAAGGUGGCCAACAACGGCGGUGCUCUCAGAUCGCUCGUUUAUGAAGCUAUAUGAUGUUUAGAUGUUUGAGCUGCAGGAUGCGCAAUGGCAAUUAAUAGAGCAUAUCUUACCUAUCUUUUUGAGUUUAAAAUGUGCCACAACAGCCAUGUCUGCUGAGCAUUCAGCCUCCAUUUAAAAUAUUUAUCCCAUUUGCAAGUCUUCUCAACACUCACCUAAAAACCGAAACUGCUGCCAAAAGUAGAAAGAUAGUUGAUUUCAAGUCUGCUGUCCUCUGGAGUAUUGCAUGAAACCCAAUGAUCCCGCCAUAAUAAACAGAGCUGCAUUAAUAGCAUCCAUACUGGAUCUCCACCACAAGCACCUGCAGUUUCUUUUGCCCGAUAUCCAGAUUGCUGCCAAAUCAAAGCUUAUGCAAACUUGCGUCUUUCUUGAAAAAUGAAGCUGCUCCGAGUGCUGCGGCUGAAUCCUCUGAACUGACUGCGCCGGCAGUGAAAAAACUGCGUGAAACUAAGAAGAGUGCUAUCGCCAUGCUUUUAGGUGAAGAUUACAGUAAGAAAACUGAUGGGAAUGCGGUAGAAAAUGAAUUGGAAAGUUACUUCCGAGAGCCCUGCCCCUUGUUGAAGUGCAAUCCGUUGGAGUGGUGGAAAGUCAAUGCACCGCUUUCCUAGGCUUGCAAAAUUGGCUAAGAGUUACCUUUGCAUCCCAGGAUCCUCCGUGCCUGCAGAACACAUGUUUUCUACUGCUGGGCUGACUGUCAAUCAGCUGCACUCAAAACUCACAUCAGAGCAUGUCAACAUAUUAAUUUUUCUCAAUAAAAAUCAUCAGUAGAGUUGUGAUGCAGCUUUUUGUUUUAGUUGUUGCUCAUUUAACCUCCAUGCAACCUUGAGAUUAGAUUUUUUUUUCUGAUCUGAUUUUUUCUUUUCUUUUUUGGAAGACCAAUCAUCUUUUAAAUGAGGAUUUCAUGUUAAAAA